UACGUAGGGUGCGAGCGUUGUCCGGAAUUAUUGAGCGUAAAGAGCUCGUAGGCGGUCUGUCGCGUCGAUCGUGAAAACUUGGGGCUUAACCCUGAGCUUGCGGUCGAUACGGGCAUGACUGGAGUUCGGCAGGGGAGACUGGAAUUCCUGGUGUAGCGGUGAAAUGCGCAGAUAUCAGGAGGAACACCGGUGGCGAAGGCGGGUCUCUGGGCCGAUACCGACGCUGAGGAGCGAAAGCGUGGGGAGCGAACAGG
rnacentral:rRNA from 1 species